rnacentral:rRNA from 1 species
UUGAACGCUGGCGGCAUGCCUUACACAUGCCAGUCGAACGGUAACGGGCCUUCGGGUGCCGACGAGUGGCGACCGGGUGAGUAAUACAUCGGAACGUGCCCGAUCGUGGGGGAUAACGAGGCGAAAGCUUUGCUAAUACCGCAUACGAUCUACGGAUGAAAGCAGGGGACCGCAAGGCCUUGCGCGGACGGAGCGGCCGAUGGCAGAUUAGGUAGUUGGUGGGAUAAAAGCUUACCAAGCCGACGAUCUGUAGCUGGUCUGAGAGGAUGAUCAGCCACACUGGGACUGAGACACGGCCCAGACUCCUACGGGAGGCAGCAGUGGGGAAUUUUGGACAAUGGGCGCAAGCCUGAUCCAGCCAUGCCGCGUGCAGGAUGAAGGCCUUCGGGUUGUAAACUGCUUUUGUACGGAACGAAAAGCCUUCUUUUAAUACAGGAGGGUCAUGACGGUACCGUAAGAAUAAGCACCGGCUAACUACGUG